AGGUUUAUUAAUAAUAAUCACAGGCAUCACCAGUGCAGUGUUGAUGGGCCUUGUCAUUGUAGUCUGUUGUCAUAUUUUCAGAAGACGCAGGGCCUAUUCACAUCCUCCCAGGGAAAGGCCUCAACCUGAGCCAAGCUCUCAAGUCCAGUUCGAUACGUACUCAACACUGGGACACCACCGGCCAAUCCCGUGCAGGAUCAACAGCGGCCAUAGCACAUCUUCCUCACUACAACUGACGCUAAACAGAUAAACGGCUCAACAUGUCUAAUGGAGUUUAAUCUGCAAACUUGCAGAAAAAAUCUAGAUCUAAAACAAAUAUAAAACAAAUCCCCCUGUGUGGCGGCUGUAAUUUAGUCUGGCUUUCUCUUAAUGUGAAUUAUUAACUUGCUUUGAAACAGUGCUGUUUUACAACUGCCAAGCAAGCAACUAAAAUAAUUUGAAAUUUGAAUACUGUGCUACUGCACUGAAGCUUUCAUUUUUUCAUGGUAUAAUCAACAGUUUUUGGUUUGUAGUUAUUUUCCUGAACUUUACAAUAAAUUAUUUUAGAAUGUUUAAUCUGUCGGAUGUUCAAAGUUUUUAUUUAAUAAUUUAAGCGUUUUGGUGACGUCUCUGCAAAGUUUUAAUUUCUAGUUUUGGAAAUGUUACUUUUAUUUAUAUAGCUGUGAACGUUAUUUGAGAAGCAUAAAAUAAAAUUGUGAUGCAUACCAUUAAAAAAUGUUUUCAAAAUGUUCCUAAAACAUUAUUGCCAUAAUGUUACAGGCUAAACUUCCUGAAAUCAUUUUAAGCGUUGCUAAAUGUUGAGCUAUGUUAGCUGUGUGUUGGGUGUUUCUAUGGACAUUUGCGAAGACCAGGAGCAAGUUUUACUUGAACCUAUUUAACUACAUCAUAUGUGCAUGUUACACGGUGCCUCAGCAGUUAGAGCACUCGGUUAUUGAUUAUCCAAAUGUGUCCAACACAAAAAUUUUAUAUUUGUGCAUCAGUAUCGCCUAACCUCAUAAACGCUUGACUACUUACUCAGUUAUUAUUACUAAAGCAUAAACUAUUGUAAAUGACUUGAUUAUUUACUGUAAUGCAUUUAGUGUAGUUAUUAACGUAAAUAAAUAAAGUGUGGGCUUAUAAACAGAGUAAAGAUAAUUAGCAUAGGAUUCAGGCUUGCUUUGUAGGAGUACAGAGCUUAUCGUAUAAUUACACUGUGUUAAUUAUGUAAAUGAAGUUCUGCAUUUAAUUGAAAGACUGUUAUGUGUUUUGUGUAGAAUCUAGAAUCAUCACCUUCUAUAAAGUAAUUAGCUGAUUUUUGGAUUAAUAAUGCUAAACUCUAUUCAGUGCUACAGUGCUUCCUGUUUCGAUACGUGUCAAAUAAAACAUCAUUUAAAAAACAAAAGCACGUUAAUUUACCUAUUUUAUUUAUCACUAUUUUCCCUACUUAUAGAAAUAACAAUAUUUUCUUUACUUAAAGAAAUGCAAGGUUAGCGACAGAAAAGUUAGCUAGCGUUAGUUAGCUACUAAGACGGACUACUGUCAAUGUUUUUUUUUUAUGCAUGUUAUGAAGAAAAUGACCAUAAAACAUAAAACAAUAAAACUAUGGUACACAUGGUGAACAAUAUAGUGGUCAUCACAUUUUACAAAUACUUACAUUAGUGGGUUUAUUUGGUCAACCCUACCCUACCAGGUAAAGUAGGACUGGGCCUAAAUUUGAAAAUAAAAAAUUGUGUGUAAAAAAAAUAAUUAUUGCAUCUUGUCUGUUUGGCAUUAUCACAAUAAACUGUUUUUCUUGUUUUCCCA